UAAGGAAUAUUGCACAAUGGGCGCAAGCCUGAUGCAGCGACGCCGCGUGAGGGAUGGAGGCCUUCGGGUUGUAAACCUCUUUUAUCGGGGAGCAAGCGUGAGUGAGUUUACCCGUUGAAUAAGCACCGGCUAACUACGUGCCAGCAGCCGCGGUAAUACGUAGGGUGCAAGCGUUAUCCGGAAUUAUUGGGCGUAAAGGGCUCGUAGGCGGUUCGUCGCGUCCGGUGUGAAAGUCCAUCGCUUAACGGUGGAUCCGCGCCGGGUACGGGCGGGCUUGAGUGCGGUAGGGGAGACUGGAAUUCCCGGUGUAAUGGUGGAAUGUGUAGAUAUCCGGAGGAACACCAGUGGCGAAAGCGGCCUCCUGGACCAUUCCUGACACUCAGACGCGAAAGCUAGGGUAGCAAACG
rnacentral:rRNA from 1 species